rnacentral:rRNA from 1 species
UACGUAGGGUCCGAGCGUUGUCCGGAAUUACUGGGCGUAAAGAGCUCGUAGGUGGUUUGUCGCGUUGUUCGUGAAAACUCACAGCUCAACUGUGGACGUGCGGGCGAUACGGGCAGACUGGAGUACUGCAGGGGAGACUGGAAUUCCUGGUGUAGCGGUGGAAUGCGCAGAUAUCAGGAGGAACACCGGUGGCGAAGGCGGGUCUCUGGGCAGUAACUGACGCUGAGGAGCGAAAGCGUGGGGAGCGAACAGG